ACUCCUACGGGAGGCAGCAGUGGGGAAUAUUGGACAAUGGGCGCAAGCCUGAUCCAGCCAUGCCGCGUGAGUGAUGAAGGCCCUAGGGUUGUAAAGCUCUUUCACCGGUGAAGAUAAUGACGGUAACCGGAGAAGAAGCCCCGGCUAACUUCGUGCCAGCAGCCGCGGUAAUACGAAGGGGGCUAGCGUUGUUCGGAUUUACUGGGCGUAAAGCGCACGUGGGCGGACUAUUAAGUCAGGGUUGAAAUCCCGGGGCUCAACCCCGGAACUGCCUUUGAUACUGGUAGUCUUGAGUUCGAGAGAGGUGAGUGGAAUUCCGAGUGUAGAGGUGAAAUUCGUAGAUAUUCGGAGGAACACCAGUGGCGAAGGCGGCUCACUGGCUCGAUACUGACGCUGAGGUGCGAAAGCGUGGGGAGCAAACAGGAUUAGAAACCCCUGUAGUCC
rnacentral:rRNA from 1 species